AAGCAUGUCGUACGCGUUUGCUUGGCUACAUAUUUAAACAUACACAGAGACAGGGGAGCAUUUGAUAUCUUCACUUACAACAAAAGAUCUCUCUUACACACAUAAGGGUUCAUAUGCCACAUUCACAUGGACGGUAAUUAAACUCAAGAAGACACCACAGCUUUGAUCAAAACCCAUCAACCACCAGUGCUCGAGAUAGUAUUGAGAAAUAGGACCAUUAAGAAUUCACAAUAACGCCACCUGCAAAACCAAAAAUAUAUAUCGAAGCAAGAAAUUGAUCAUCAAAAUCAAAUUUAAGAGCAAAAAUUAAUGCACAUGCACAGAUAAUUAAUUAAAAAACAAAAACUUACC
rnacentral:lncRNA from 1 species